GAUGAACGCUAGCGGCAGGCCUAAUACAUGCAAGUCGAGGGGCAGCAUUAGUACUUGUACUAGAUGGCGACCGGCGCACGGGUGCGUAACGCGUAUGCAACCUACCCUUUACUACGGGAUAGCCCGGGAAACCCGGAUUAAUACUGUAUGGUACCAUCAGAUGGCAUCUGAAGAUGGUUAAAGAUUUAUCGGUAAGGGAUGGGCAUGCGUGACAUUAGUUAGUUGGUGAGGUAACGGCUCACCAAGACGAUGAUGUCUAGGGGUUCUGAGAGGAUGAUCCCCCACACUGGCACUGAGAUACGGGCCAGACUCCUACGGGAGGCAGCAGUAGGGAAUAUUGGUCAAUGGGCAGAGCCUGAACCAGCCAUGCCGCGUGCAGGAAGACGGCCUUCUGGGUUUGUAAACUGCUUUUAUCAGGAACAAAAAGGCCAUGCGUGGCAAAUUGCGUGUACCUGAAGAAUAAGGACCGGCUAACUCCGU
rnacentral:rRNA from 1 species